AGGACGCGGACUCCGAGCUCGGGAGCCGAGGUCCCGCUGGGGUCCCGCGCCCGGGGUCCUUUGCCCAGGGAAGGCGGGGCGGAGGCGCCGGGAGGGGCGGUGAGGGCGGGGCGGGUGGCGGUUCCGCUCUACGGCUCUUUUCUCCCGAAUGCCCGAAACUCGGGGCUGAGAACUUCUCCCCGCCUGUGCCCCGUGCACUCGGCGACCCCCGGCUCCCGCACCUUGUUCCCAGCCCGCCCCCACCCCGCCUCCCGCCGCGCCGCCCCCACUGCCGGCCGCCCGCCGCGCCGCUCUCGGUUACAAAGGAGGGAAAAUGAGCCGGGCGGCGGCGCGGCGCGGGGCUACCGCGGCGGCGGCGAUGGCUGCCGCCCCCGGCACCACGUAGAACGCCCCCGUCCGCCCAGCCGCGGCCCAGGCCCGAGCGGAGCCUACAGCUAGCCACUCGCCUCCCGAGCCCAGCGCGUCGCCUUCUGGCCGGAGGAGGAGGAGGAGGUGGUGGAGGAGGAGGAGAGGAGGAGGAGGCGCCGCCUUCUCCUCGCCGCGCGCCCUCGCCGUUGUCUGCGCUCCGCUCUGGACCAGUUUGGGGAAGUUGCCGGAGGCCGGUGUCGCCCAGAUGUGCGACCUCAUUGAGCCGCAGCCGGCCGAGAAGAUCGGCAAGAUGAAGAAGUUGCGGAGAACUUUGUCGGAGAGUUUCAGCCGCAUUGCUUUGAAGAAAGAGGACACCAGCUUUGAUGAGAUAUGUGUCACAAAGAUGUCUACACGGAACUGCCAGGGAAUGGAUUCAGUGAUCAAACCCCUGGACACAAUUCCUGAGGAUAAAAAAGUCAGGGUUCAGAGGACGCAGAGCACCUUUGACCCAUUUGAGAAACCCGCUAAUCAAGUAAAGAGGGUGCAUUCAGAGAACAAUGCUUGCAUUAACUUUAAGUCCUCCUCCACUGGCAAAGAGUCUCCGAAAGUUAGGCGGCACUCCAGCCCUAGCUCGCCGACAAGUCCUAAAUUUGGAAAAGCUGACUCAUACGAAAAAUUGGAAAAACUAGGGGAAGGAUCUUAUGCUACAGUAUACAAAGGGAAAAGCAAAGUAAAUGGGAAGUUGGUAGCCCUGAAGGUGAUCAGGCUGCAGGAAGAAGAAGGUACACCUUUCACAGCUAUCAGGGAAGCUUCUCUCUUAAAAGGACUAAAACAUGCUAACAUAGUGCUGCUUCACGACAUCAUCCACACCAAGGAGACGCUGACACUUGUGUUUGAAUAUGUGCACACUGAUUUAUGUCAGUACAUGGACAAGCACCCUGGGGGGCUGCAUCCAGAUAAUGUGAAGUUGUUUUUAUUUCAGUUGCUGCGAGGGCUGUCUUACAUCCACCAGCGUUAUAUUUUGCACAGAGACCUGAAACCACAGAACCUUCUGAUCAGUGACACGGGGGAGUUAAAGCUGGCAGAUUUCGGUCUUGCAAGAGCAAAAUCUGUCCCUAGCCACACAUACUCCAAUGAAGUGGUUACCUUGUGGUACAGACCUCCAGAUGUCCUCCUGGGCUCGACAGAAUAUUCCACCUGCCUUGACAUGUGGGGAGUCGGCUGCAUCUUUGUUGAAAUGAUCCAAGGGGUUGCUGCUUUUCCAGGAAUGAAAGACAUUCAGGAUCAACUGGAGCGAAUAUUUCUGGUUCUUGGAACGCCAAAUGAGGACACGUGGCCUGGAGUUCAUUCUUUACCACAUUUUAAGCCAGAACGCUUUACCCUGUACAGCUCUAAAAACCUUAGGCAAGCAUGGAAUAAGCUCAGCUAUGUGAAUUAUGCAGAGGAUCUGGCCUCCAAGCUCCUACAGUGUUCCCCAAAGAACAGACUAUCAGCACAGGCUGCCUUGAGCCAUGAGUAUUUUAGUGACCUGCCCCCACGGCUAUGGGAACUGACCGAUAUGUCUUCUAUUUUUACCGUCCCAAAUGUAAGAUUGCAGCCAGAAGCUGGAGAAAGCAUGCGGGCCUUUGGGAAAAACAAUAGUUAUGGCAAAAGUCUAUCAAAUAGCAAGCACUGAUGAGCACAACAUUCUCAAGAAAGCACAGUCUGCUGCAAGUGGACACUACAAAAAGCACGAAGCAUCCCUAAUCCCACGAGCCUGGUGUGCACUGGCUGACGUCACUGUGGUCUCCAGCUCUUUUGCCAGUGGAAGGGAGACACUGACCCCAGGCCUGCAAGCGCUGUUCUUUGCUCUGCCGCUAAACCACUGAGCUGUUGGCACUUUCAUUGUUUUAUACCAGGAGGAAAUCAAUUGUGUUGAUGAUUAAGUUGUCAUCAUUCUGGGAAGAAAAAAAAAACAUUAAUGAAGUGGCCAAUAAUACGAAGGGAAUGACGGAUCAGUUUCCUUCCCCUCCCUGUGGUGGAUUUCACUUACAAGAAAACUGAAGCUGGCAAGACCCUGUUUUCUCUGCAAUUUAUUUAAAACCUUGCACGCAUUUGGAUACCUUGUGAUUUCCAAGAACUAUGUGAAGAUUAAGCUUUGCUUACUGAUACAUGGCAUGUAUUCUUUUCAGUCUUUUGUGUUUGAUUUUGUUUGAUUUCCCUCUGCAGUGCAACGUCUCUGUAAAGGUUUUUAUGCUUUCACCAGCCAUGUCUUAAAUACAUUAAGACAACACAUUUGGUGUUCACACUUCUUCAGUAAUGUCUGUACUUGAAAGCCACAUAGUGGCAUAAAACAAUGUGUGUUUUCUUUGAGAGCAGUGUACAUUUUGCAACCACCAGGAAGGAAAUUUUUAGCUAAAGCAAACCCCUGUUCUCAGGCUGACUUGACAACUUGGUCCCUAGCUGUGGGGCCCCACUUGUCACUUACCUUUUGAGGACAUCUGCAAAUGUGGUUUUUUUCUUGGAAAUAACUGCACAUGUAUAUAGGAUAUUGGAAUCUGCUUAGCAUUUUCAAGCCACAUAGCAUGACUGUUUUCCAAGUAGGUUGGAAGUAAAGAAACAAAUAUCAAGCAUUAAGAACAAAGACAGGGAUAAAUUGCUUACUUUUCAACCUCUGGAAAUUAAGGUGACUUUUUACAUGUUUUCUGGGUCUUGUCAACAUCUUAUAUUUUCCAUCCACUCUGUUAUGCUUCAGGAGCAUUUUCUAAGUGGAGGAGAAAAGAAUGAGGAACAGAAUGCUUACAACUUGGGUGCAAAAGAAUUGUAUCUGCUGGAUGAGCCCCAAAAGCCAUCUUGGCUAGUUACCAUUUAAAAAAGCAAAUUACAGAGUUAUCCAGAGUUAAAAAUUUGCUCAUUUACACCAAAGCACCUUUACAUUACACUUUUUAAAACAUUCCAAGCUGAUCGGAAGACAUCACUGGGGACCUUAACUUUAACCAGUCUCCUGGAAAAACUGUUCUUACGCAGGUUGUAGAAACAAUGCAGGAGUCUAGCUUUCAAGAUGGCAAGGGAAAAAGAAAGGCCCAGCUUCCCUUAUUUAGAAGAUGAGGGACCUCGAAGGAUGAAGGCGCUUAUGUGACAAGGAGGGAAAAGUGGACUGGGCACGCUCUGUGCUUUGAUGGGGAGGGCAAGCUGCCUGAUGCAGGCCUUCUCCCAGUGGGGCCGGCCUCGCUGCACAACCCCAAAUAAUACUGAGGCCAACGGGGCAGUUAUGGAACUUCAUCUAAAGCAUGAAACCUAGCCCCUCAGAACACCAAUUCCUGUGGAAAUACUCUUCAUGUAUGUUGUUUUACAUUUUCCUGUUGGUCAGAAAGAAGGAGAGAUUGAGAACUUGAAAUGCAUCGCACUUUUUAGGAUCAAGACUAGGAAUUAUGAGCCAGUUUGGCAAAGGCAUUCUCUGAAAGUCCCAUGAGGGAAUAGCUUCUCUCUAGUCAAAGCCAGUAUUCCUAGGAAAUUGGACCCAAAACUUCUAAGCAUUAAAAGGGUACCUUCCCUGGAGUGCGGCAUGAAUAAAUAUGUCAAGGUCACAAUCCAUCCUAUUCAGAAGUAGCAUUCAUUGAAAGCUUCUAGGUGCAAAGCAAAGAAUUACUUACUAAUUGAUUUUAAAGAGAGCAAAAGUUACCCAAGGCUAGAGUGUUUACUGUUUGCUACCUAGAAGUCUUUCCCAUUCUCUCUGACAUUCCAAGCCACUGGAAGUCUUUAGUGGUAUUUUACCAUGUGCUUAAAUUAGGAUUCCUUAACAUAAAUACGGAGAGAAAAUUUUACAUGCAAUCAAGAACAGCCUUGCCUGUGAUUGGUUUUGAAUUAUUUCUUUGGGGGAGAGGCAUAACUUUUGUAUUUUACUAACUUUAAACCAAGAGCAGCUGGUGAUUAAAUCUUGCUAUUUAAUAAGCUUUCUAAGUUGAACAUUUGAAAAUAUUUAAUAUUAAGAGACUUCGAUUAGGAAUGUUAGCGUCAUUCAGAGAUAUCUGCCCCUGUCAUAGGCAGCUUCUCUCGGGAGAGGAAACAUAAUGCUACUCAGUGUGGAGGGAAAUCUGGUUUUUACACAGACAUGUGUCUCAGAAGGUCUCAUUUAGGAGGUUUGUAGCUCCCCAGUCUUGUCCUCAGUACAGGAAAUCCAAAGUUGGGUUUGUCUCUCUCCCCUCUCCUCUCCUAUUGGCAAUCCAGCUUCCCACCUCCCCUCCCCCCGCCCCCUCCCACGGAGGGCAUCCAUGAAAAUCGUUACAGAAUGUGUUCAUUAGCAGAUUUAUUAUUCUAUUGAGAAAGCACUGGAAUGUUUUGUGAGAUUAUUUUUAUAUGAAGGACUAGCCUGAAUUCAUACAGCUGGAAUAUUAGGAAUUCAUUAGCAUUGUGGUGGUAUCAAUGCAACAUCAGUGCACGCACAGUAUUCUGAAAGAAAAUUUGGGACAUUGCCAUUUUCUUAAAGGGACAGUUUGGUUGACUUAAAGAUGCAGGAUACAUAAGACAUGAAAAAAUGUUUUUGCAGUGCUCAAAAGAAAAACAAAAACAAAACAGGGGACAUAAGGCAGGGGUGGCUGUCCAUCCACUGAAAAAAGGGUGAGAAGCUAUUUCUACCUCCCAAGAGUAGUAAGAGAAGUUUCCAGGGGAGCCUCCAGGUGUGCAGAGAAAGCAAGACCUCUUGGUAUCUUUCCCUCAGUGUGUACAUGAAAGCCAGUGUAAUUAAUACCCUAGGUUAUGUGUCUAUAUAAGAUACUCAUCUGUGAAUAGUACUUACUGGUUUUGUAAUCUUUGUUACAUAAGAGGAUGUUUAGGCUGUACAUACUGGGGUGGAUUUUUCCCUGCCCCGCUAUACAUAGGAAUAUGCUGCAUAAUUGCACAUAACUUCUAUCUCUCUUACUGGCUUGUAGGCAGAGGAAACCACAUAUGUUACUGCCUUGCAAUUUUCUCAUAUACCAAAAACAACAACAACAAAAAGGUCUCAAGUAAAAUAAGCAAUCUCCUAUUUUCAUUCCCCUUCCUACAGCAGCAUAUUUAAGAGGCACAUACAAAAUCUACAUUCUCUAGUUGGGAGUGGAUUUUUUUUUUCUUUUAUCUUUUAUCUUUUUUUUUUUUUUUGGUAUGAUACACUGAGAUGUGUACUUUCUAGCAGAGGGUCGGUACCUAAGAAAUGUGUUAGCAUCAUUCAGAAAACUAUUAUACUCCAAAAUGAAACAUAGUAAGGAGAAUGGAAUAAUACAUGUUGCAUAUUUGUUACCAAGUGUAAUUUGUCUGUAUUAUGAAAGAUGUAAUGGUUUGUCAGUUGUCACUGUUGUUUUCUUGUAACAUGAUAUGGAAUAAAGUAUAGCAGAACCUCUGUA